rnacentral:rRNA from 1 species
UACGUAGGGGGCAAGCGUUGUCCGGAAUCAUUGGGCGUAAAGCGCGUGUAGGCGGCUUUGCAAGUCGGGUGUGAAAGCCCUCAGCUCAACUGAGGAAGUGCGCCCGAAACUGCAGAGCUUGAGUACCGGAGAGGAUGGUGGAAUUCCCCAAGUAGAGGUGAAAUUCGUAGAUAUGGGGAGGAACACCGGUGGCGAAGGCGACCAUCUGGACGGAUACUGACGCUGAGACGCGAAAGCGUGGGUAGCAAACAGG